rfam:Aphanomyces astaci strain APO3 cont1.3380, whole genome shotgun sequence.
GGGGGAAUAGCUCAGGUGGUAGAGCAUCGGUUUCUUUCUCAAAGGUCAUGGGUUCGAUCCCCAGCUUCCCCG